rnacentral:rRNA from 1 species
UUAAUCCCCGAUAGGCGAAGAACUCUGGAAUGAAUCUCCACCUAAAAGGCGCUUGCGCUAUGCUCGCAGGUGUCGCCCAAGGAUGGGGCCGCGACCGAUCAGGUUGUUGGUGAGGUAAUGGCUCACCAAGCCUUUUACCGGUGCGGGCCGUGGGAGCGGGAGCCCGGAGAUGGGCACUGAGACAAGGGCCCAGGCCCUACGGGGCGCAGCAGUCGCGAAAACUUUGCAAUACACGAAAGUGUGACAGGGCUAUCCCGAGUGCCAUCCGCUGAGGAAGGCUUUUACCCAGUUUACAACGCUGGGAGAAUAAGGAGAGGGCAAGACUGGUGUCAGCCGCCGCGGUAAUACCAGCUCUUCGAGUGGUGUGGAUGUUUAUUGGGCCUAAAGCAUCCGUAGCUGGCUGGGCAAGUCCCCUGUUAAAUCCACCGAUUUAAUCGUUGGAGUGCGGGGGAUACUGCUCGG